AGUGAACGCUGGCGGUAGGCCUAACACAUGCAAGUCGAACGGCAGCACAGUAAGAGCUUGCUCUUACGGGUGGCGAGUGGCGGACGGGUGAGGAAUACAUCGGAAUCUACUUUUUCGUGGGGGAUAACGUAGGGAAACUUACGCUAAUACCGCAUACGACCUACGGGUGAAAGCAGGGGAUCUUCGGACCUUGCGCGAUUGAAUGAGCCGAUGUCGGAUUAGCUAGUUGGCGGGGUAAAGGCCCACCAAGGCGACGAUCCGUAGCUGGUCUGAGAGGAUGAUCGGCCGCACUGGAAGUGAGACACGGUCCAGACUCCUACGGGAGGCAGCAGUGGGGAAUAUUGGACAAUGGGCGCAAGCCUGAUCCAGCCAUACCGCGUGGGUGAAGAAGGCCUUCGGGUUGUAAAGCCCUUUUGUUGGGAAAGAAAAGCAGCAGGUUAAUACCCCGCUGUUCUGACGGUACCCAAAGAAUAAGCACCGGCUAACUUCGUG
rnacentral:rRNA from 1 species